rnacentral:rRNA from 1 species
GGCAGCUACACAUGCAGUCGAGCGGAACGAGUUAUCUGAACCUUCGGGGGACGAUAACGGCGUCGAGCGGCGGACGGGUGAGUAAUGCCUAGGAAAUUGCCCUGAUGUGGGGGAUAACCAUUGGAAACGAUGGCUAAUACCGCAUAAUGCCUACGGGCCAAAGAGGGGGACCUUCGGGCCUCUCGCGUCAGGAUAUGCCUAGGUGGGAUUAGCUAGUUGGUGAGGUAAGGGCUCACCAAGGUGACGAUCCCUAGCUGGUCUGAGAGGAUGAUCAGCCACACUGGAACUGAGACACGGUCCAGACUCCUACGGGAGGCAGCAGUGGGGAAUAUUGCACAAUGGGCGCAAGCCUGAUGCAGCCAUGCCGCGUGUGUGAAGAAGGCCUUCGGGUUGUAAAGCACUUUCAGUCGUGAGGAAGAUGGUAGUGUUAAUAGCACUAUCAUUUGACGUUAGCGACAGAAGAAGCACCGGCUAACUCCGUGCCAGCAGCCGCGGUAAUACGGAGGGUGCGAGCGUUAAUCGGAAUUACUGGGCGUAAAGCGCAUGCAGGUGGUUUGUUAAGUCAGAUGUGAAAGCCCGGGGCUCAACCUCGGAAUAGCAUUUGAAACUGGCAGACUAGAGUACUGUAGAGGGGGGUAGAAUUUCAGGUGUAGCGGUGAAAUGCGUAGAGAUCUGAAGGAAUACCGGUGGCGAAGGCGGCCCCCUGGACAGAUACUGACACUCAGAUGCGAAAGCGUGGGGAGCAAACAGGAUUAGA